AGGUUUUUAAGUUUUCUUUAUUUAGUUUUGAAUAGAAAAUAAGAUUUUGUGAGUUCAUUUUUGAUUUUUCAAAUGUAAUACACUUUAAUUUUUUAUCAUGCCUAGAGAAAAGUGACUAUACAUUACAUGUUAAAUUAACUAAGUAUAACAUUGAAAAUAUAGAAUACUCUUAUUAAAAAUUGGAAAUGCGACAUACAUGCAUUUGUUCAAUUUCAAGUUGAGUGUUGAUGUCCCUCAUACACGUUUAUGACACAUUCAUAUUGGGGUCGAGGAUUUGACUCUAGCCUUAGUAUUGUACCCAUUUAGGAUAUUGUAGCCUGUAUGUACUGGAUGGCCAUAUUAAUAUUGCUGCUUUGUCGGGUAUGGUGGUGGAAUCUAAAAAAGGACCGAGCAAAUCUUUAAUUCAUAGUCUAAUUCUGGGGAGGAUGAUACCCACUCGAAUAUGAAGACUCAGAAGUCAUGUACCAUAUGGGUCAUAACUCGGUAGGGAGGAUAUGAUCCGGUAUAAGAUGAUGAUCCUAAGCACUCGAGGGAUCCUAAUACGCUAAGAUUCCACUUGAUGCACCACCUUAUCUGCCAGAUUGGUAUCGUCUCCACCACCUCUAGGCCCCCUCCUUUAUGCCGUGAUGUCCUUCCUAGCCCUAUGCCUUGGUCCAUAUCCUACAUCGUAUACUCACUGGGACUCACCAAUGAAUGGAGUAACAAAGGGAACUGCAUCCCACCUCCUUGCUGUCCAUUGCUUUCGCCCCGACCAUGUUUGCAUCACUAGAUGACAUGGACAAU
rnacentral:lncRNA from 1 species